CGCUGGCGGCACGCCUUAUACAUGCAAGUCGAACGAAGUAGCAAUACUUAGUGGCAGACGGGUGAGUAACAUGUAGGUAUCUUCCCUUUGGUGAGGAAUAACACGAGGAAACUUGUGCUAAUACCUCAUAAGUCUUUACAGAGAAAGCUUUAUGCGCCAAAGGAUGAGCCUGCACUUGAUUAGUUUGUUGGUGGGGUAAUGGCCUACCAAGACUAUGAUCAAUAGCUGAUCUGAGAGGAUGAUCAGCCACAUUGGGACUGAGACACGGCCCAAACUCCUACGGGAGGCAGCAGUAGGGAAUAUUGCACAAUGGAGGAAACUCUGAUGCAGCGAUGCCGCGUGAGUGAAGAAGGCCCUUGGGUUGUAAAGCUCUUUCGUCGGGGAAGAAAAUGACUGUACCCGAAUAAGAAGGUCCGGCUAACUUCGUGCCAGCAGCCGCGGUAAUACGAAGGGACCUAGCGUAGUUCGGAAUUACUGGGCUUAAAGAGUUCGUAGGUGGUUAAAAUAGUUGGUGGUGAAAUCCCAGAGCUUAACUCUGGAACUGCCAUCAAAACUUUUUAGCUAGAGUAUGAUAGAGGAAAGCAGAAUUUCUAGUGUAGAGGUGAAAUUCGUAGAUAUUAGAAAGAAUACCAAUUGCGAAGGCAGCUUUCUGGAUCAUUACUGACACUGAGGAACGAAAGCAUGGGUAGCGAAGAGGAUUAGAUACCCUCGUAGUCCAUGCCGUAAACGAUGUGUGUUAGACGUUGGAAAUUUAUUUUCAGUGUCGCAGCGAAAGCGUUAAACACACCGCCUGGGGA
rnacentral:rRNA from 1 species